UAAUGUCCUUGUGCUCCAAAGGGGUUAAACUAAAAGCCUGUGGAGUUCACCAUCUAAGCCAAGCUCUGAAGCAAUCCUAGACUUAAUCAGGGAAGCAGAAAAGACUCUGGUCACAGGAAGCAGUGGCCCUGGGAGGGAGAGGGCAAGUGAGCUUUAGAGCUGGCAUGAGCAGGGAAAGAAGUCUGCUCAUCACGACUUGGCUUUGGUGCAUGACCGAGUAGGGUCACAGCAUGCACGGGAGGUCCUGGACCAGGUUUUCGCUUGGGAAAAUAAAAAACCCUCAACUGGUGGCCUUCUGGAGUACAUCUGCAAACCAUGUGGAUGCACUAAAUGCAAGAUUAUAAAAUCUAAACUUUUCUACUGCCUGGAUCUGCUCUCUCGGCAUCUGCCAAAUCACUUGGCCUACUGCAUUACCCUGGAAAACAGCUCAUCUGCCUGAAUACUUCUCUGUCUCUCUGAGCUACAUCAGAUCAACUAAAAUGUAAACUCUGUCAACAACCCUUAUCACUCUAAAGGAAACUACAGAUCUGCUUGGGUUGUAGAAAUUAUGUUUAUUCUGAUGUUCAGCUGGGCCCCAGGUCCCACACAGAUGGAAAAAAACCUUAAAAUCUGUAUUUGGUUUCACUUGCAUCAGAAGUUGAACUCCUAUGUGUUAAGUUUCUUGCUUUACAUAAGCGUAGUGGUUUCAUAUUCUUUUUUUUAUACCAGAAUCAUUGGGAUAACUGGCAGUCUAAUGGUAGGCUGAUCAAUGAUCUCACAUCCGAAAAUGCAAACAUAACUGCAGACAGCUUCCCCAGGAAGAGCAAAUUCUCUGCUGCAAAAGUUCCUUCUGCAAACACGCGUCCCUUGAGGGGAAAUGGGAGCCAGGAGCUCGCGCUGGGCGCACUGAAACAAUGCAAGAAACAGAUUUUCAAGCCUGUCCCUGCAGCUGAUCCUGCCAGUUUUGCCUGUUACCCUGCGUGGUCAGAAACUUCUGCUGCUUGUGGAGACAGAUCAUUGUUUACUCAAGAAAUCUGCAGUUG
rnacentral:lncRNA from 1 species